rfam:Giardia lamblia ATCC 50803 SC_589 genomic scaffold, whole genome shotgun sequence.
GGGUCUGUAGCUCAGGGGUAGAGCGCUCGGCUGCAGUCCGAGUGGUCAUCGGUUCAAAUCCGGUCAGGCCCU